AAAAGCUCGUAGUUGGAUUUCUGCCGAGGACGUCCGGUCCGCCCUCUGGGUGAGUACAUGGCACGGCCUGAGCAUCUUCUUGGGGAACGUAUCUGCACUUGACUGUGUGGUGCGGUAUCCAGGACCUUUACUUUGAGGAAAUUAGAGUGUUUCAAGC
rnacentral:rRNA from 1 species